UGAGGUCAACUCGUGCUUGCCAGUUCUUGGAGGAGUAUGGAUACAAGGUCAUCAAUGUUCAAGGUGGCAUGACGGCCUUUGAAAAUCUUUAAAAUUUUGCAUUUCUCCUACUUGGUGUGGACUAGGUAGGAGAAUUUUGU
rfam:Streptococcus oralis SK313 ctg1129914004921, whole genome shotgun sequence.